CAUACAGUCUAUGAAAAUAAAGCCACGAAUCGCCCAAAGAAAGCCCGUUCAGAAGGGUUCACACGGAAGCCUCUCCAAGGGGAAUUGCGUGACCCGAAAAGGCACACUCCGAAUUUCGGAUCGUGGAGGUUUUUAAGGAACAAACCAACAAGUGAAAAACAACAACGGCUUCAAUACAUGGAAGAAUAACGAUGAAAGCAACAGUGAAGGAAGACAGCAGAGGGGAUACAUGUGGACUCUUCUAUCACACAACUAGUCUGUCCCUAUGAAUUUGGGACACUGGUGCAGAUUUCUACCUUUUUUAAAAUGCAGAGAAUACACACUUCUGAUUUUGGACCAUUGGUUUAUAAAGCAUAGGGUUCUAUAUUCUACCGGCUUUUCUGUGGGCAAAAGAAAGAAGAAGGGAACCCCCCUUGACCACCCAAAAAGCUAUGCCAGAGAUUGUGGGACCGGAGUGGGCAAAAGCCACAUGGCAUGGGGGCUACAUAGAAU